rnacentral:sRNA from 1 species
UCCUAGCCCCGAUGGGAACGACAUCCUUUUUUGUUUUUUGGCAAAGGGAAUAAGUUUGGAAAAACAAAAAAGAUAUAGUGGACAGCGGGAAAUAGC